GAGUAACGCGUAGGUAACCUGCCUAUUAGAGGGGGAUAACUAUUGGAAACGAUAGCUAAUACCGCAUAACAGUAUGUAACACAUGUUAGAUGCUUGAAAGAUGCAAUUGCAUCGCUAGUAGAUGGACCUGCGUUGUAUUAGCUAGUAGGUAGGGUAAUGGCCUACCUAGGCAACGAUACAUAGCCGACCUGAGAGGGUGAUCGGCCACACUGGGACUGAGACACGGCCCAGACUCCUACGGGAGGCAGCAGUAGGGAAUCUUCGGCAAUGGGGGGAACCCUGACCGAGCAACGCCGCGUGAGUGAAGAAGGUUUUCGGAUCGUAAAGCUCUGUUGUUAAGGAAGAACGAGUGUGAGAAUGGAAAGUUCAUACUGUGACGGUACUUAACCAGAAAGGGACGGCUAACUACGUGCCAGCAGCCGCGGUAAUACGUAGGUCCCGAGCGUUGUCCGGAUUUAUUGGGCGUAAAGCGAGCGCAGGCGGUUAGAAAAGUCUGAAGUGAAAGGCAGUGGCUCAACCAUUGUAGGCUUUGGAAACUGUUUAACUUGAGU
rnacentral:rRNA from 1 species